UGUUUCGGCUAGGGGGCCAUCCCGGCUUACCAACCCGAUGCAAACUGCGAAUACCGGAGAAUGUUAUCACGGGAGACACACGGCGGGUGCUAACGUCCGUCGUGAAGAGGGAAACAACCCAGACCGCCAGCUAAGGUCCCAAAGUCAUGGUUAAGUGGGAAACGAUGUGGGAAGGCCCAGACAGCCAGGAUGUUGGCUUAGAAGCAGCCAUCAUUUAAAGAAAGCGUAAUAGCUCACUGGUCGAGUCGGCCUGCGCGGAAGAUGUAACGGGGCUAAACCAUGCACCGAAGCUGCGGCAGCGACGCUGAUGCGUUGUUGGGUAGGGGAGCGUUCUGUAAGCCUGUGAAGGUGGCCUGUGAGGGUUGCUGGAGGUAUCAGAAGUGCGAAUGCUGACAUAAGUAACGAUAAAGCGGGUGAAAAGCCCGCUCGCCGGAAGACCAAGGGUUCCUGUCCAACGUUAAUCGGGGCAGGG
rnacentral:rRNA from 1 species